GCCUGCUAAUUAUCUAUAGGCUAUGUUUCAACUUGUCAAAUGUAAAUUAUUUUCUAACAACAGUUUGAAUUGAGGUGUGUUCUGCCUCCUCAUUAAUUCACAUUCAGCGUUGCAGACAUCACUACACUCAUGUUUGAUCAAGUAUGCAUAUAUUUGCGCAGUCUUGCAAGAAUUUGAACAUUUUCUUGCUGGCGCUCGAUUUGCCUUCCUUGUUGUUUUCCUUACAAAUAACUUUGGACAUGUGUGCGUUCCUAUCAAAAUUUGAGUCAUAUAUACACAUAAGCAGCACUGCCCAUCCCCCAGAGAAAUGCUUGAACCUCAACAUGGCUACAAGUUGCUGUUCAGGGCAUGGACUUGUUUUGGUAGAAGACGCAUUUGAGCAAGCAAGGGAUGGCCUUAUUGCUUCUGGACAUUACUUGUAAAUCGUGCACGAGGGAUCCCUCAAACUUGGGAUCUCAGGGAAACCACACUUCGGGAACGAAGCAGAUGGACCCACCUUUGAUCUGAGAGGCAGCGAGCCGAGUGGAUACCACAUUUCGAACUUAGUUUUUUUUAAAGAUAGAGUUUGACACUUUUGUAACCUCUCUGUCACUGCUCAUGACUCACCUGAUGAAUAAAUAAUGUGUGAAAAAGCAUUGCUCUCUGUUCCCCUCCUCCUAAAACACACACAUACACACACACACACACUCAAACACACUCGUGUGGGUAGGGGGAUGUGGGGGGUGUUUGAAGCCUAAACAUCAGUGACUAAUUGGAACAUAAAACGGUGGUGUGAGAAAGCGGAGGAGGGAGAGAAAGACGAGGCGGGCGUCCUCUCUCCUCCUUUCAUCCCUCCCCCCUCCCCAUCUGUCUCUCUCUGUAUGAAGGUGACCUUGUUGUCUCUGCUCGUCCAUCGAUUUCUGCACUCCGAGGACCCGGGGACUCCCUCCCACUCAUUUCCGGAAGAGAGAUGGAGGGAUGGAGGGAAGAAAGGGUGGAUAUGCAAGGGAGCAUACGGCAGUGCAUAGGUGCACAAGGAUGCCGGUGGGCGGAGUUGGAAGGGUCGUCAGCUAAAUGGGAAACACCUGGGCCCAGCUGUGUCCCAGGAUAAAGAGACCUCUUCCACAGUUAUUGAGAGGACUCUCUCCAUGCAGACACUUUGUUGAUUUUGGUUGUGUAGUUUUGUGGCUUUUUGGUUAUUUCCUUUGGCACCUUUCAACACCCUGCAUUAUUACAUUCAGGUAUGCAAAACACUCACUUACACUACUGAUUACUGAUUACACACACGCC
rnacentral:lncRNA from 1 species